UUGACCUCAAAUCAGGUAGGACUACCCGCUGAACUUAAGCAUAUCAAUAAGCGGAGGAAAAGAAACUAACAAGGAUUCCCCUAGUAACUGCGAGUGAAGCGGGAAAAGCUCAAAUUUAAAAUCUGAGGGUCCUUGCGGCCUUCCGAGUUGUAAUCUAGAGAAGUGUUAUCCGCGCUGGACCGUGUACAAGUCUCCUGGAACGGAGCGUCAUAGAGGGUGAGAAUCCCGUCUUUG
rnacentral:rRNA from 1 species